rnacentral:lncRNA from 1 species
GCCAAGGAUGAGCGAGCCGGCAUGCAGCCCGCCAAGGCCAUUCACGAACAGGCUGAGUCUCCGAGAGAAUUCUUCAGACCAGCCAAGAAAGGGGAGCACCUGGGCCUGAGCCGGAAGGGCAACUUCAGGCCCAAAAUGGCUAAAAAGAAGCCUACGGCGAUCGUGAAUAUCAUCUAGAGCUUGGGUGGCUCAGAAGCAUCACCACGGGGCUUACCGAAUGGUGUUCCAGGGGCCAACGGUGUUGUCCUUUUGGAUCUGUGGCGGAAGGAAGGCAUAAAGGAAACGCAGGGAACACAGCAUACAGGGUCACUCAGAUUAACCAGAAUUUAACACAGCGGGUCUCAGUAAGCCAAGACUUUAUUUUGGCCUCCUUUAGGUGCGAGCAAGGGAAAUUAUAAAAAUUAAAUAACGAAGUAAAACUUGAAGCACUCGAAUCCUAUAGUUCUGGUAAACACGAAUGUGCAAUUUCUUAAAUAAUUGGCCCAGUCUUCCACAGACCUGGCUCCAGGGGUUCCUCUACCCGGUGCCCAUUAGUACGUGGGCUGCACAAGAUGCCAGACUCCGGUGUCUACCGCUCUCUGAAUUAUGAGGCAAGGAAUGUGACUGUGAAGUUCUUCUGCUUUAAAGAAAAAUACUACUUUUGGUCUUCUGACAGGGCCGUGCUAUGCUAUGUAGCCCUGGCUGGCUUGGAGCUUGAUAUAUAUAUAUACCAGGCUAGCUUUGAACUUGCAGCAAUCCUCCUGCCUCUGCCUCCUGAGCUCUGGGAGUACAGGUGUGCACCACCGCACCCAGCUAGGAGUGUAAAGUUCUUGUUGAGAGCAGUGAAAUCAAAGGCUUUUGUCGUUUGCUUCUGUGUAGAUCUCCUUUAAUACAUUUGAAAGUCUCUAUGGUAAAGGUUCGUCUGUUACCCUUGAGUAUUCUGGUUAAUCAAGACUUCAGUCUCCGGGUGGGUUACAGAGUACGUUCAGUUAGACCUCGGUUCUCACUUUGCCAGGUGGCUUUCGGAGUUGAUUCACAUCUGGGUCUAUCAGAGCAUAUUUAUCCAGGACUGGGUGCACCCCUCCUGCCUUCUUCGGCUAAGCACGCUGCACCCUCAAGAGCUGUCUGUCUACCAGCCUCUCUAGAGAUAGCUGCUAAAACCCUUGCGGUCAGUAGCAGCACUGAUGUGGUGCCCAAGUGCUUGAUGUGCUAGAGGGCACAUUCAGUGUCCCAUGGCCAUCCGGGCCAUGCGGUGGGGACGCCCGACGUACUACCACCGCCUGCGUCUCUGGAAGUUCCACCGGCUUGCUACCGGUUACCUGUGAGCAUGCUCUUUGCUAACUUCCGUUUCCACCCGGAAGCUCACUUUGCCUCCUGCUGCUUCUAUGGCUGGUGUACACUUUCCUCCCUCUCAGCCACACACCUGGGGGUGUUCAUUGUGCGGUGCAUUCUGCUGUAAUUUCAGAUGAAAAAGAAUGCAUGUGGGAUAUGACCCGUGACAUUAUCCUCCCCAAAUGGCAUUGUUCCCAUUAAAAAAAAAAAGCUUUCAAGAAUCUCUUGGUUUAAAUUUUUCUUUCAGAAGGAAUUUUUAUAUUUUUCCUUAAAUUGAGCAACACCAUCAGGUCUCUAGAGUUUAUUUGUGCUGACAUCCUUCCCAAAACAGGAAUAAUAUUGUUUAUGAGUAUAUACAUAUAUAUUACACAUACUAUAUAUAUAUAUAUAUGUUAAGCAUAUAAAUAGUUUAUUUUUAAAUACUCAUGGAGAAAGUGUUUGUGGUGGGCAGCUUUAAAACUUUAUAGCUUUGUUUCUGUACAUCGAAUUCCUUUAUAAGUUAAGACUGUAACCUAACACCAGUAGAAUUAUUGUUAUUGCAACAAGCAUCUGAUUAGCAUAUUACAUUAAAAAUAGAUAAUUAAGCAGUUCCUUGGGAUGACAAUAAAUUGAAAAAGAGAACUCAUCGUUUUCAGACACGUUGCACCUGUCCUUGUGUAGGAGAGGUCGCUGUUUUGAGUCUUCGCUGACUUCCGGCCUAUGUGGGCAGAUCUUCCGUGUGAUGCGCAGGCCGUUUCCAAGUGGGGGUAAAAACAGAGCUUGGUAUCCUAUCACCGUGGAGGCCGAUGCUGCGGAAACUGUAGUGUUAUUAUUUGUUGGGAUAAGGAAUUUCCGCCAUAGUUACUUAUUAUUGAUGUUUUUAUCAUGGCUGCAUUUUUUCUUCGCCCGCACUGAAAAAUGUGACUUGCUGAUUGUGCCGCAUGCUCCCUGUCCUGU